GCUCUGUCAGUCAAGUGGACUCUAGAAGCGGAUUGGUUCCUCGCGAUCAGCCCGUGGCGCUUUUCCUUCUGAUUGGGGCCCUGGCUGCCCCGCCUCCAAACGCUCCCUCUGUCCUUGACCCUCACCUGCUAAAAGGGCAGAGGGGAAGUGAAGCCUAGGCGUGGCCUCACCUGCGUCCUAGUCCGCUCUCACCUCCCUAUCGAGUGAGGUUCAGCUUCGCCUCGGCCGCACCUCUGAGCUCUGAGGCCGCCCCUGCCACAAACCGGUGAUUUCCUUACUGCUCAACCCGACUGUCACUUAGUGUCCUUGUGUCACUUGACGCCUCCAAAAACAUUUGACCUGUUGACCAUAUCUUAGUAGUUUUCCUGUGUGCUUUCCUCCCUCGCUGUCUACUCCUCUGUGGCCCUUGACAGUCGCGUCUUGCACCGCCACCCUCAGUCCUUAAGUCACUGAUGGCUCUGGCCAUGUGGUCCCUUCUUCCCACUGUGGCCGGGGCGGUGGGUGUGCAGUUGCUGGGUGCGGCCUCAGUCCUCGCAGGUAGUGCAGAGCUUUUCCAAGGGUUUCUUGGUCUUCCAUCAAUAUCCCUGCACAACCUCCCCGCCCCAACCGGGUUGUCUGUUUCUAGCUGUGAUGGUGGUUGGGACAUUGUGUUGCAUUGCAUCCCCCUGUAAUUUCCGCUCCCUGGUCUUCCCUGCCAGACUCGCGGCUCGGUUCACGAGUUAUUUCUAAAGGAAGCCUUCCCUUCCCUCCAUUCACCGGCUUCUCCCUCCGAGUUGUCUCUCUGAUGUAGGUUUCCCCGGUUAAAGGAUGCUCAGCUACAUCUGUAAUUCAGAGAAUGUCCACGUGUUGAAUCCAUUAUAUUUUACUUCAGUAGCAGAGAUCACACCUGGAAUGUGUCCGUACUGUGCUAAUUGCCAGGUCCAGAAAUGACGAAUGUAUGUCCCUAUUCCUAAGAACUUCCAACUAAAUGAGGAAGACAGGCAUGU